AUACUCUCCAGAAGGAUACCCUCCAGAAGGAUACCCUCCAGGAGGAGAACCCAUGAAAGAUACCCUAGUCUCACGUGAGUCCACGUGACUCUCCUCAAUUCAAUGACCCCCGUCUCCCCAUCCUAUCCUCCACACGUCCGCCGAAUUGGAGACAGAACAUGAUUGCGUCCGCCGCUUUGAUUGCGUGGUGGAAAGAGAUGGAAAAACAGGUGUGGAGAAGGAAGAGUUGGUUUCGGAGGCGGACAUGGGCUUUAUAUAUCAAGGUGGAGCGGGACUUUGUGUAAUAAGGUGUGGUUGGUGGAGAUGUUGGCGAGGCGGUGGGCGCUGGUCACGUGACCGAGAUGGCGGGGGUGUUGGCGUUGGUCACGUGACGCAAUAGAAAUCUGUCUCAGGUUUGAUUUAGAUUUCAUCAGAUGUGUUUUCUUGACGGGGUGUUGAAUUUGGGGUUGAUUUGGUGGGGGAAUCCACUUGGCUCGUUAUUGUUCGUCAUUCAGAUCGAUCAUGGGCCAGCUGGAAUCGGUUUGUUGAGAAUGAUCAGAGGGUUCUUUUCUUCUUUUCUUCUUUUCUUCUUCUUUUCUUCUUUCUUUCGUUUACAGCGAUGAACAGCCGUCGCAAAGGUAAGGGAAAGGGGCUACAAGAAUCUGAAGACAGCUGCGCCAUGAACGUUUGUCAUUUCUUUUCGAUGGAAAAUAUUGAGACGGUUCUAGAAUCUCUGAAGGGUUUGAUUCGUUGUGUUGUCUUCUGUGACUUUGGUACAAUGGCAAUGCCGCAAAAGUUCCAAAAGACCACUCCUGAUUACCCGAGAAACUUCUGGAGAAGCGCGCUCUUUCUCAUCCCAGACAUGGCACUCCUUAUUAGUCAUAGGGGGGCAGUUGUUGACAAAUCACAAGUGCUAAAAGUGCCCAAUUAACCCCAUUCACUUCCCCAAGUCUUCUCAGUGGAGUUUUCUAAUUCCGAGACGGAAAACACUGUCAUUGAGAUGGUUCCAGGUGGCUCUGAGUCAGUUCCAUUUCUCUCUGAAUCAUUUCCCGAAUCAGUUCUCUCUGGAGCAGGGGUUGUCUUCUGAUCCGACGGUUCCACCAUCAUGUGUGGACCGCUAACCAGUUCCUUCCGACUCGGUGAGCGUUCCUCAAAAUAGAACCAUUUGAAAGCUGGAGACGAGCCGAUUACGACUCAGCAGCACCAUUUCCGCACAGCAAUGACCAGUCAAAAGUUGGGUACAAUGCUCAUCCCAAUUGCUCCCCAAAACCAAUGCUCCUUGAAGCCGUGACGAUUCCCAACACUAUGAUGAAUGAAAGGACCGAAAGUUGCAAAAAUGAAAUUCUGAUGAGAAAGUUGUUGUUGUUUUUCCAUCGACUGCCGCCAACCGAACUGUCAGACAGAGACAGGACCGAACCAAGCGCCAUUUGACGUCUUCCACAGCUCAUGCAGCAAACAUCCCGCCACGACUGGACAGUCUAGAUAUCGACAUGGCAUGUUCGGUGUCUGUUCGGUACCCGGAGGGCCAGCUUCGAAGGUGGCACUCCAGAUCUCGAGGUAGCACUACAUGCCCUUCUCCAUCUCCUGUUCUACCUCUUUUGUUGCGAUUUUGUCGUUCCUACUUUCGCCACAUACAUCUCAUGCCUUCACUUGAUGAUACCUCAGGAACGAGUAAUGCCACCGGUUGAAAAGGUAGGUAUAACUGUUCCUCUGGUAUAGGGCGUUGAAAUGAGUCUACUCUUGUACCUACAGGCCAACUACACAACUACCUACUCAAGUUAUCCCUUCACUAUUGUGCUCUACUAUCACCUGGACUAGAUCCUGAAUACAAUACUGUGCCUAGAGAGAUGGGAAGUUGAUCAAAAUGAAACUUGACGUCUGAAGGUCAUUUCAGGUCACCGUCUCCGUUUCAUUUGGCGCAUUAUCCAUCGUUCUGGAGCGCGGUUCAUGCUAUAGGGGGAAUGCCAACCUUUCAACUAUACUUCUAACAAAUAAUAGUUGAUGAUGAAAAAAAGAUAUCCGCACAGAACGAAGUAUUGUAUAGCAAAAAUGUUCAAAAUACAGAAAAAACCAU
rnacentral:misc_RNA from 1 species